GACGAACGCUGGCGGCGUGCUUAACACAUGCAAGUCGAACGGUGAAGGGAAGCUUGCUUCCCGGAUCAGUGGCGAACGGGUGAGUAACACGUGGGCAAUCUGCCCCAGACUUUGGGAUAACUACUCGAAAGAGUAGCUAAUACCGAAUAUUCAGCCUUGCAGGCAUCUGCGAGGCUGGAAAGUUUCUCGGUCUGGGAUGGGCCCGCGGCCUAUCAGCUAGUUGGUGAGGUAAUGGCUCACCAAGGCGACGACGGGUAGCCGGCCUGAGAGGGCGACCGGCCACACUGGGACUGAGACACGGCCCAGACUCCUACGGGAGGCAGCAGUGGGGAAUAUUGCGCAAUGGGCGAAAGCCUGACGCAGCAACGCCGCGUGCGGGAUGAAGGCCUCGGUGUAACCGCUUCAGCAGGAAGAAGCGAAAGUGACGGUACCUGCAGAAGAAGACACCGG
rnacentral:rRNA from 1 species